rnacentral:lncRNA from 1 species
UUGGCUUAUCCAUGUUUCUAGUUAUAUCUAGAACAAAAUAACCAGGGCAAUAUUGUUCCAGCCUUCACAUUCCUAGUCUCUUAUGAACUUGAAAAUCAUCCAAUCAAAAUGCAGUAACUGUCAUAGAAUAAUACUAGGUACUUCACUUUUUAAAACGACAUCAUAUGCGACGGUGGUGGUCAGCAAGGUUAUACAACUCUCCACAGGCUCACAGUCAGCCACUUGUUUCCCUUGGAAACCUUCCAGAUAGGAGACACUGUGACACAGGAGCACAAAGCCAAGUGUCCCCCACAGCUCUGACUUUACCGUCUCCCUCACGAGUGUACAGAUGUGGCCUUAACUGCACUGUUUCUAGGACUCUAGAAUAGAAUACCUUGUACCAAGAUCUCUGCCUCAGGAAAUCCAGAAAGAAAAGGUGCAAAAAUAUAAAUCAUUCCUCUGAUGAGCAUUUUUUUUAAUUGGAAAUUAAAGUGAAAAGCUAACUAU